rnacentral:rRNA from 1 species
GACGAACGCUGGCGGCGUGCCUAACACAUGCAAGUCGAACGGGGUUAUUUCUUCGGAGAUAACUUAGUGGCGAACGGGUGAGUAACGCGUGAGAAACCUGCCUUUCAGUGGGGGACAACAGUUGGAAACGACUGCUAAUACCGCAUAAUGUCAUUUGGGGGCAUCCCUGAAUGACCAAAGAUUUAUUGCUGAAAGAUGGUCUCGCGUCUGAUUAGCUAGAUGGCGGGGUAACGGCCCACCAUGGCGACGAUCAGUAGCCGGUCUGAGAGGAUGAACGGCCACAUUGGGACUGAGAUACGGCCCAGACUCCUACGGGAGGCAGCAGUGGGGAAUAUUGGGCAAUGGGGGAAACCCUGACCCAGCAACGCCGCGUGAGGGAAGAAGGCCUUCGGGUUGUAAACUUCUUUUACCAGGGACGAACAAAUGACGGUACCUGGAGAAAAAGCAACGGCUAACUACGUGCCAGCCGCCGCCGUAACAC